rnacentral:lncRNA from 1 species
GUUGGUUUGGAUACCUAAGGAAUUUCCAGUGAAAUAGAAAUGGAGAAACAAGACACUUCAGAUCAUGUCAUAUCUUGUACAUUAAAAUAAGCUGAGGAAUGUGAACAAGAAUGAUUAAGUACUGAUGUGUAAAUGAGCUAAAGGUGACUCUCGUCCCCAAAACUGGAUGAAGUCUGAAAAAGAACCCGCUCAUGUUUCCUAGUUCUGAUGUGGGGGCAGGGCGACUGAAGAGAAUGGUCAGCCAAACACAAAUGUUCUAUAAAUAUUUGGAGAACAAAGUCUACAUAUUUUUGACCUUCACGUAAAUGCUAUCACAUUGUUUGUUCUUUUGUAAACAUGAAAUCUGCCUCAGCAGAGUCCAUCUGU